rnacentral:rRNA from 1 species
UACGUAGGGUGCAAGCGUUGUCCGGAAUUAUUGGGCGUAAAGAGCUCGUAGGUGGCGGGUCACGUCGGGUGUGAAAGCCCGGGGCUUAACCCCGGGUCUGCAUUCGAUACGGGCUUGCUAGGGUCCGGCAGGGGAGACUGGAAUUCCUGGUGUAGCGGUGAAAUGCGCAGAUAUCAGGAGGAACACCGAUGGCGAAGGCAGGUCUCUGGGCCACUACUGACGCUGAGAAGCGAAAGCAUGGGGAGCGAACAGG